ensembl:lincRNA
CACCGUUUUGAGAUAUGUAGAUCUAGGUAUAUUGUUGGCAUGGAGAAGUGAUUAUGAUGCAGGGACAAUGAGAGGAAAAGACACAAAAUAAUGUGUCUUUAGCUUACUUACAAAGAAGGGGAUUCUGCCAUCCUCCUUGCAACCCCACACAACACUGUGACCUAUGCCAGCUGCAGCAUACUUCAAUUGAAGUGAAAAUUAAGAGUAUUUAUCAUUCUCUGGGACAAACUGAGGAGUGCACCACCAAAUACUGAUUAGAUUUACUGUGGCCAUAUUGGGGACAGAUACAUAUCACAAGGAUUUCUUUCCUGGAGGCAUUAGUCCGUGAUAACAGUGGAGCAAGACAGACCGAAACUUAACUUGAGUCAGAAGGAACAAGACAGUGACAGCUGUCAUUACUGUCCCACAUCCAAUGUAUGUACUUCACAGAAAGAUAACACAAACUGCAAGGGUGAUGCAAUUCACACCUCCAAGGAGGUAGAAGGCCCAACAGCACAGGGAGAAAGACAAAGUGGAAAGACCAAGUAUCCAGAUCAGCCCAGGCUCAGGGAC